rnacentral:lncRNA from 1 species
CUUCAUCCACCUAAAAUAACAGCAAAGAGGGGGUUUUGAAAGCUCAAAAAUAUCAGCCACUCUUCACCCUUGCAAGUAAGUGAUUUUGAUGGCCUUUCUUGAUAAUUUUUGUACUUUUGAAACCUUUGUAGCAUAAUCUAGCUAAUGAGGGGACUUUUUUGCAAAAUGGUUGAAAUUAUAGGGUUUUUUCAUGAGAGUAUUCAUGUGUUUUUCUGAAUUUUUAUGAAAUAAAACGAGUCUUGGUUGUGUAAUAAACAACUUUUGUGAAAGAAGUUUGCAUGAAAACACCUAAAAAGGGUUAUUUUGUAAAGUUAUAAAAUAAGUUGUAAAUGUGUGAAAUAAUUGAAAAUGUGAGUUGCUAUAGUUAUAAAAAGUAUUCGUCUAGGCUUGGUAAAGGAGGAAAUUUGAGAAAAAUUGAUUUAAGAGCCUAAGGGUAAAAUCAUAAUUUUUGUAAAGUCUAUGGGCAAAACGAUCAUUUUUCCAAAUUGUGAAUUAUAGAAUGUUUUAAUUAAUGUAAUGAUUAAAUGAGUGAAUUUCAUCAUGUUAGAUCAAGAAAAUUGAUUUUGGGGCUUAAAUUAGAAUGUACGAGGUUAUGGACUAAAAUAGAGUAAUUAGCUGAAAUUGCAUUCAAGGCAAGUCUGUGUGACUAAAUAAACAUGUUAUCCAUGUUAUUGUUAAUAUACUUGAAAUCUAUUUUGCUAUGAUUGUAUUUAAUUAUAUGUUGAUGGAAUAUGACAUUCCAUUGAAACAAGUAAGUUGUACGUAAAUAAUGCAAAAUUUAAUGUUAUCAUGUAUUAUACGAUUAGUAUAGUAUGAAUUGUUGAUUUACGUUGUGAAUGAGAAUUUAUAUAAUAAAGACUUCCGGUUGAACAUAAAGAAUAUAUUUGGAUAUUCAUGCCAUGACAUUGGGUGAUAUGUGUGCUAGUGUAAGACAUAUCUGAGACAUGCAUCGGCCACAUUACGGGAGCCAGUGUAAGACAUGUCUGGGACAUGCAUCGGCCUCGAGAUAUGCAAGCCAGUGUAAGACAUGUCUGGGACAUGCAUCGACAUUGAGACGAGAGCUAGUGUAAGACAUGUCUGGGACAUGCAUUUGGGACAUGGCAUCAGCUUGUUGUGUGUCAGUGUAAGACUUGUCUGGGGCAUGGCAUUGACACCUAUAAAUGAGAGCCAGUGUAAGACCUGUCUUGGACAUGGCAUCGGCCUCGAUAUAUGAAAGUCAGUGUAAGACCUGUCUGGGACAUGGCAUCGACUUUGAUGUGCUAUCCAGUGUAAGACCAUGUCUGGGACAUGGCGUCGGCAUCUUAUCCCAUGUUUGGGGCUAUUGAAUAUCCUGUAGUAUUCCAAAUGGUUUAACGGGAGAUUUACGGUUUAUAUUGAAAUGAGAGAACUUAUGACCAUGUGGUGAGUGGUAUAGGUACUUAUAUGAAAUUGAUGAGAUGUGAAUUCAAUUCAUGUUGUAUGAUUAGUAAGGAAUGAAUAUGAGCAUGUUGAGUAACACAGGUAUGUAUGCCAAACUCAUGAGAAAUGAUUUCGGUUUAUGAUGCAUAUUGGGUGAAGAUGUAAAUAGGUAAUUCAUGCCUAUGAGAAUGAUUUUGUGAUGACCUUGUGAUUAUAGGCAUAUACUUAUGAUAUAUAAAUAUGUAUAUUUACCAAUGCGGUGAAAAUGAAUUAAUAAUGUGUGAUAAACUUAGUAUCAUUAAUUUACACUAAAACAGCUUUGGACAGCAGCAGUAGUCUGACUUUGAAAAUCCACCAAAAAUUGUGGAAAUUGAGUUAGAGGCUGAAUAAAAUAUUAAAUUAAAUUUUAAUGAGUCUAGUUUCACAUAGGAGAAACGGUGUAAGCAUAAGAGUUUCAUAUUAUAAAAUAUUUAAAUUAUUUUAAGAUAGAGUCAGAAUGAUUUCGAAAUCCCAUAUUUUGAUUUGAAAAAUCAUUUAAAAUUGUAAAAAAAUAAUUAGGGGUUAUAAUUUAUAUGCUUAUAAUCCUUGAUGAGUCUAUUUUCAAGCGAAAUAGACAAGAACAUUAUCAUAGUCCCGUAUUAUGAGAUAAUUAAUUUUUAGUGAAGAGGGGUCAAAACUAUCACACAGCAAGAAAAUGGUGACUUUAAAGAAUAAACUGUACUUAUUGGCUAAACUAAAAAUUCUAAAAAUUUUAUGGUAAGAAGGUAUGUGAGUCUAGUUUCAGAAAAAAUUUACAGAUCUUAAUUUAGCGUUCCGUACCUCCUGAUAUAAAUAAUUUAGUGACUGUGACUUGAGAAAAUAGCUUGACCUAAACAUAGGUAAAUAGGCAAUUAUGAGAGUAUUACCUUGAGAUCAUGUUGUAAGAAUUGGUGGAAGCAUAUUGAUAAAUUGCAUAUUAUUUUUAUAUGGACUUACUAAGCAUGUAGCUUACUCCCUCUUUUCCAUUUCUUUUAGCUUUGUCAGGUUAGCUUGGGGUUGGAGAUCGCCGGAGGCAGCAUCACACUAUCAAGUCACUACCUUUGGGAUAAUGAAGCACAUGUUAGAAAUUUUCAAGUGAGUGGCAUGUAACACCCCGAUUUUUGGGGCCUAGAGGAGUUGGGCUUUGAGUUUGGGAUUCGGAUAGAAGGAAACCUAAAUAAUUAGGAAGUUUUAAAUAUUACCGUUUAAGAAAAAAAUUUUGAAUUACUACUAGAAAAUUUUUACUAUAUUUAUUAUUAUAGAUAUUUUAAAUUUUUACGAAAUUUUAAUUAGUAUUAUGAGAUAAAAUUAUUAUUAGAAAAAUAUUACUGCAUGUAUGUUUGAAAAAUUUUUAUGAAAAUUAUUAUUAUUUACUGUAUUAUUGAUAUUUGAAAUUUUUAUUAUUAGAUAUAUUUAUAAAAUUAUUAUUAUUAGAUAAGGAAAUAUAUAUAUAUAUUUAUAAAAGUAUUAUUGUUUUGGUGUUUAAGACUCUAGAAAAAUUUUAAUUUUAUGCUACCUUAGGGAAUCUGGGCAGUAGGCCUUAUUAAUAAUUUGGGCUGAGUUUUAGCAUAAAGGAGCACCUGUCCUAGUGGCUAAGCAUGCUAGGUAGUAGGAAGGAGAGUUGGGGUUUGACUCCCAACAUGUGCAAAAGAGUUUUAUUUUUCUUUAUAUCAGGGAACGACGUAGAGAAGUGUUAUAUAAAGUUAAAGUUAAAAGGUAACACAAAAGGGAAGCUCGGCCCAGUGGCAGAGGCGCUGGGAGUGUGGUAUAGUGCCUAGGUUCGAGGGUUGGCACACGCAAAGGCUUGGUUUUUAUUUUAAGAAGCCAGAUCGCACUAAAGUAAGGUUUAAGAAUAAUUGCGACCGAGCUAUGUCACAAGAAGCGCCUGUGGCUCAGUGGCAGCAGCGUGGUGGGCAUAUGGAGAGGGC